rnacentral:rRNA from 1 species
AUUGAACGCUGGCGGCAUGCCUUACACAUGCAAGUCGAACGGCAGCACGGGUGCUUGCACCUGGUGGCGAGUGGCGAACGGGUGAGUAAAGCAUCGGAACGUACCUAGAAGUGGGGGAUAACGUAGCGAAAGUUACGCUAAUACCGCAUAUUCUCUGAGGAGGAAAGCAGGGGAUCGCAAGACCUUGCGCUUUUGGAGCGGCCGAUGUCGGAUUAGCUAGUUGGUGGGGUAAAGGCCACCAAGGCGACGAUCCGUAGCUGGUCUGAGAGGAUGAUCAGCCACACUGGGACUGAGACACGGCCCAGACUCCUACGGGAGGCAGCAGUGGGGAAUUUUGGACAAUGGGCGAAAGCCUGAUCCAGCCAUGCCGCGUGAGUGAAGAAGGCCUCGGUUGUAAGUAC